UACGUAGGGUGCAAGCGUUGUCCGGAAUUAUUGGGCGUAAAGAGCCCGUAGGCGGUCUGUCGCGUCUGCUGUGAAAACUCGGGGCUUAACCCCGGGCCUGCAGUGGGUACGGGCAGACUAGAGUGCGGUAGGGGAGACUGGAAUUCCUGGUGUAGCGGUGAAAUGCGCAGAUAUCAGGAGGAACACCGGUGGCGAAGGCGGGUCUCUGGGCCGUAACUGACGCUGAGGAGCGAAAGCGUGGGGAGCGAACAGG
rnacentral:rRNA from 1 species